CCUGAGUUGUCCUUUAUGACAUUGGCAGACAAUUUUAGCAUCAUUGUCUUUAAUAUAACACGUUCAAAAAAUGAAGAAUGUGUGAUUAUUUUAAUGAAAAUAUGAGUACUGGUAUUUUUAGUAUUUCUGAUGUUUCCUUUAUGUUCAUAAGGAGUAUAGAGAGAUUGCUGUUUUUACACUGUUACCUUCCAUCACUUCUUGAAAAGGCAAAGACAAGGUGCUUUGACAUGGUGAACUGAAGAAGCCUCAAGUUCUCUCUGACCUCCUCCCAGGCCCCAUCUCUCCCAGAGCACAGCAUGAAGUUGUUCUCUGACAUUCCCUUAUCUGCCUAAAGCCUGGACGCACCAAAGAAGAAAACAAUUAGCCCUGGUCCCUUCCCUGAAUUUUCAUUGCCUGAACUCAUACUACAGGAAGACAGACCGAAGUCCGUCAGUGCACCUGGACAGACUUUGUCACAGGCCAGUGUCUGUUCUGCAAACCCACAGAUUUUGUGCCAAACCAUUCUAUGUUCUUCAAGCCCAUUGAAUUUUCUGAAAAAUCAUUUACUGCCCCCACCCCCCGAAAUCAUCCACAUCUCCCCAUCUCCCUUUCCCCUAAGAAGGGUGUAUAGCCAUCUGUGUCCCAUUGUGGUGGGGUAAUUACUCUGUGAUCCUCUUCUGUGUACAUUAACAUUUGCAUGCCUUUUCUCCUAAUAAUCUGACAGUGAAGGGAGGUUUUUCCUUGGCCCCUACACCCUCAAAAUGCAAUUUUCAUGAGGCUAGAGACACUGUUUAUAUUGUUUCCAUUUUAUUCUAGCAACCAAAGUGGAAACAAGCACAUGGCAGGAACCCAAUAAAUAUUUGUUGAAUAAAUGAGUGAAGUAUUUCCUCACAAUUAUUCUGAAUCAUUGGCAUUACUGGUAGGGAGUUGGGCUGGGGAAUACAAAGAGAUGUAAAAUGCUGGAGCUGUUCUCAUGUCUGCUUUAAACUUGGGAGGUUUUUUUAAAAAUAAAAUUUUAAAAUUUUAUAUUUUGCUUAAACAUUGAUUUGUUGGGUUUUGCUUAAGUAUUGGUUUAAUUUUUGGUAUUAUUGGUCUACUGAGGUAUAAUUAACCAAUAAUAAACUGCUUCAUAUAUAAAGUGUAUAAACUGACAAAUUUUGACAUAUGUAUGCAGAUAUCAUCACUACAAUUAAGAUCAUGAACAUAACAAUCACACCCUGUGAAAAUUUCCCCUGCCACACUCUCUUACUCCCUCUUUCCUGCCCUCCCACGCAGCUAGGAAAACAUUGCUAUGUUUUUCUAUCACUAAAGAUUAGGUUUCUUUUCUGAAAUUGUAUAUGAAUGGAAUUAUUAAGUAUGUAGUUGUUUGGGGCCUGACUUUUUACCCUCAAUAUAAUUACUUUUUAAUCUAUCCAUGUUAUUGUAUGUGUCAAUAGUUUAUUCAGGUUUGUUGCUGAGUAACAUCCUGAUUAAUGAAUAUACCACAAUUUGUUUAUCCAUUCACUGUUGAUGGGCUUUUGGGUACCAGUUGAAACUACAACAAAUAAAACUGCUAUAAACAUUCAUCUACAUGUUUUUGCAUGAGCAUACUUUUAUUUACAUUGGGUAAAAACCUAGCAGUAUAAUGGCUAAGUCAUAUGGGAGACAUAUGUUUAAAUUUUUAAGAAAUUGAGAAAUCGUCUUCCAAGCAGUUGUACCAGUUUACAUUCCUAUCAACGUGGUAUGAGAAUUCCAGUUCUUUUACAUUUUUGAAAACACUUAUCAUGGUCAACUUUUUCAAUUAGCCAUUGAGGUAGAAAUGUACAGGUAUCUCAUUGUGGCUUUAAUUUGUAUCUCUCUAAUGAUUAGUGAUGUUGAAAAUAUUUUAUGUACUUACUUGCCAUCUGUAUACUUUCUUUGGUGAUGUGUCUAUUCCAGCUUUUCUCCAUUUUUUGGCAUUAUUUCUCUUUUUGUUACUGACUGACUUGUAAAAGUUCCUGAUAUACUAUAUCUAUGAGUGUUGUCAGAUAUACGUUGUGCAAAUAUGUUUUCUCAGCCUGUGGCUUGCCUUUUUAUAUUUAUAACAGUGUCUUUUGAAAUGCAAAGGUUUUAAAUUUUAAUGAAGUCAAAUAUAUUGUUUCCAAUUUAUAUGUCUUUCUAUUUGUGUUAUGUUUAAGAAAUCUUUGCCAAACCCAAG
rnacentral:lncRNA from 10 species